AACUUAGGAUAACAAAAACCAAGAACCUUCAAAGUUCGAAAUAAGGGUGUAAGCCCCUUAGUUUUUGCAAGA
rnacentral:tRNA from 1 species